rnacentral:rRNA from 1 species
GACGAACGCUGGCGGCGCGCCUAACACAUGCAAGUCGAACGGAGCUAUUUCGAUAGAUCCCUUCGGGGUGACAUUGGCUUAGCUUAGUGGCGAACGGGUGAGUAACACGUGAGGAACCUGCCUUUCAGUGGGGGACAACAGUUGGAAACGACUGCUAAUACCGCAUAAUGCAUUUAGGGGGCAUCCCCUGAAUGCCAAAGCUUUAUGUGCUGAAAGAUGGUCUCGCGUCUGAUUAGCUAGUUGGUGGGGUAACGGCCCACCAAACCGACGAUGGAUAGGGGUUCUGAGAGGAAGGUCCCCCACAUUGGUACUGAGACACGGACCAA